GCCAAGGUGUGAAUCAUAAAGAAACACAUCCACAUGCUGGUGCCUUUACAGCACUCUGCAGCGAGCGAAGCAGAGCACCCUAGCCAGUGUUCUGCAUGCCGGCGGCGAUGCCCUUCAUGGUGAGGAUGAGCGUGUCCUCCAGCCCCGGCCCGUACUCGCUCGCCGGGUUGAGCUUCACAAUCCCGCGCGGCUGGUUCUCGUCGGCGAACUCCUUGGACAGCGGCGGCUGCGGCGUCACCUUGAAGUUCGGGUCCCUUAUCCUCUUCAGGGUGUAGGCCUGCCACACGUUAAGAAUGGUGAUGUAGGGGUCGCGCAGCCGCAGCUGCUGCUUCAGGCCGGGAUCGCUUUCAAGGAUUUCCUUGUGCCCAGCAACCUGCACAAAGAUGGUGAGUAGUCAGGAUUUCCUUGUGCCCAGCAAUCUGCACAAAGAUGAAAUUCAUUCAUAUGAGUUUUAAUUUAUUACCUGCAGGAUAAGCUUCUCUGUUUCCACGUAGUUGUUCCUGAGCUGCUCCCCGAAUGGCUUGAGUUCGUCGGCGACGAGCAGCUGGUCGUAGAGGCCGGCGAUGGUGGGGUCUCCCUUGGCUAAGACCAUCUCGAGCAGGUCCAGGGUGACCCUGAAGAAUGGCCACUCGUUGUACAUCUCCUUGAGCAUCUGGAAGUUCUUGAUAUCCUUCUUCAUGGCGUGCUUGAACGCGGCGCCGAACCCGAGCCACACCGGGAGGUGGAACCUCGUCUGCGUCCACGAGAAGAUCCACGGGAUCGCGCGGAGCGACUCGAUGCCGCCCUUCGGCUUCCUCUUCGCCGGUCGGCUGCCGAUGUUCAACCUGCCGUACUCCGUCUCCGGGGUAGCCGACCGGAAGUACUCCACGAACCGGGGCUCCCUCAUGACGACGGAGCGGUACUCAUCGGUGGCGACGGCGGCGAUCUCGUCCAUGAGCGCGCGCCACUCGGGCUUGGGGGAGACCGGCGGGUGCAUGCCGUGCUCGAGCGUGGCGGCGGUGAAGCGCUGCAGCGUCCGGAAGCAGAGGUGCUCUUCGCCGAAGGAGGUUUCGAUGACCUCGCCCUGCACCGUCACACGGAGGGACCCGUUGAUGGUGUCCGGCGGCUGGGACAGGAUGGCGAGGUGAGUCGGCCCGCCGCCCCUGCCGACGGUGCCGCCGCGGCCGUGGAACAUGGUCAGCUUCACGCCGUAGCGCUUCGCCACCUUCGCCAUCUCCUCCUGCGCCUUGUACAGGUGCCACGCCGCCGACAGCCGGCCGGCGUCCUUGCCGGAGUCCGAGUAGCCGACCAUCACCUGCUGCUUGCCGCCGAUCCGGUUCAUGUACCAGUCCAGGGAGAAGAGCCGCUCUAUGGACGCCGGCGCCGACUGCAAGUCGGCGAGCUUCUCGAACAGCGGGACCACGGGCAGCGGCUGCUUCACGUGGCACUCACGCUGCAGGAGCUCGACGGCGAGCACGUCGGAGGGCGCCGUCGCCAUGGAGAUGAUGUACGGGCCGAAGCUGUCGCGGGGCAGCUCGGCGAGGACGUGGAAACAUCCGAGCACGUCGGCGAUCUCCUCGGUCUGGGGCAUGUCCUUGCUCAGCAGUGGCCGCUUGCCGCGGAGCUCGGAGAGCAGCCACUCCUGGCGCUUCUCCUCGGACCACUCGCGGUAGGACCCGAUGCCGAGGUGCGUGGUGAUCGCGUCGAUCACGUCUGUGUGACGCUCCGACUCCUGACGGAUGUCCAGCUUCACCAUGGAGAGCCCGAACGUCGAGACCUGCCGCAUGAAGUCGAGCAGGCUCCCGUCGGCGAUGGUCUUGUCACCACAGUCACACAGGGAUUUGUAGCACAGCUCAAGGGGCUCCAGGAACUGACCAAAUUUGAAGGGUUCCACAGUGACAUUAGUUAAACUAUAUUAUGAUAAGGAGCAUGACAUUAACAAAUAACAAUGUUUAUGGAACCCUCAAAAUAACAAGAGGAGCAUGAUGCCGGAUUACCUCUUCAAC
rnacentral:lncRNA from 1 species